rnacentral:rRNA from 1 species
UACGGAGGGUGCAAGCGUUAUCCGGAUUCACUGGGUUUAAAGGGUGCGUAGGAGGGCAGGGAAGUCAGUGGUGAAAUCUCCGGGCUUAACUCGGAAACUGCCGUUGAUACUCUCUGUCUUGAAUCCCGUGGAGGUGAGCGGAAUAUGUCAUGUAGCGGUGAAAUGCUUAGAUAUGACAUAGAACACCAAAUUGCGAAGGCAGCUCGCUACACGAAGAUUGACUCUGAGGCACGAAAGCGUGGGGAUCAAAACAGG